GAAUAUGAAGCAAUAAUUUGCACUUAGUUUCGACCUAAAAAUAGGUAUUAUUUACCCUUAUUCU
rnacentral:tRNA from 1 species